rnacentral:lncRNA from 1 species
UGACAUCAUGAUUAAAGUGUCACUACAACAGAAAUAGGUUAUAGGGACAUAUGUUUGGGACAUUUUUGAGUAAGUGUCCCAUUUAUCCUAAAACUUAAAAAAAUAUCUACUAAUGCCUAAAUAUAAAGCUCAAUCCAACCAAAAAUAAAAUAUUACUCUACUCAACUCACCACACCCGAUCCAUUUGGCCCGAUUACAAACAAAAAAGAAAAAAAAGAAAAAUUAAUUACCAUCUUUUCUUCUCUCUUCACUCAAUCUACUGAAAUUUUAGACGAAGAGCCUUUCCUAUCGUCCUCCUCUGCCACCGCAGCCAACGAGAUAGAGUUUCGGCGGUUGCUAAAUACUUAAAUAAGUGUUGGUAAAUUAGCAGCACUUUUCUAGAUUAUAGCGACACUCUUUAACUGUCACUAUAUACCUAGCGACCCCACAUUCAGCAACACUUUUUAAAAGUGUAGGUAAUUUUAGCUAGCAGCACUUUUUUGACAUGUACCUACAUUUAAAAGUGUCGCUAUAGACUAUUUUUAUUGUAGUGUGUCCAUCGAUACGGGUCGUAUCCAUCGUAUCGUAUUGUGCAAUCAAGAUAUCAGCAUGAUACAACUCCCGUAUCGAUGGCACAGCUCAAAACUCUUAUUCUUAAAAUUAGUAUUUCUCAUUAAAGUUCAAAAGAUUUGAUAAAAAUACAAAAUAAAUAAUUAGCAUAUUUUGUUACUAAAAAAAAAUAAAUAUUUCAUACCAUUACAUAUCAGUAUAUAUAUAUUUUUUGUGAGUAGCACGCAUCGGCAGUGCCCGGCAUACACCACAUGCCGUACCAUGUCGGCAAAUUUUCGAUACUGCUCCGUGGCAUAGCACUUAAAUCCUUGGUUGCCAUCAUACAAUUUCAUGAUGCAAGUGCAAGCCACUUUUAGAAGAAAGAAAAACCUAAGAACAAAAAUAAAGAUACACAUAAAAAAUAAUUUUUUGAAAAUAUAUUGUAAAUUAAAA